UGCCUCAUGACUCUCCAUAUGAGGUAAUCGCCUGUUYUAUCAAAAACAUUGCUUUUUGUUUUUUAAUAAAAAGUCUGUUCUGCUCGGUGAUUUUUAACAGCCGCGGUACUUUGACCGUGCAAAGGUAGCAUAAUCACUUGCCUCGUAAUUGGGGGCUGGAAUGAAUGAAUAAACAAAGGCUUAACUUUAUUUUUUAGAUUAAAGGAAUUUUCUUUUUUAGUGAAGAAGCUAAAAUAUGUAAAAGGGACAAGAAGACCCUUUUGAGCUUUACUAUAUUUUUCUUUUUUAGGAUUCUUUAGUUUGGUUGGGGCGACCAAGGAAAUAGAUCUUCCUUAUUAAUUUUGAUCCGUUUAUAACGAUUAAAAGAAUAAGUUACCAAAGGGAUAACAGCGUAAUUUUUUUUGAGAGUUCUUAUUAAAUAAAGUGAUUGCGACCUCGAUGUUGACUUAUGGUUUCCUUAAGAUGCAGAUGUUUUUAGGGUGGGUCUGUUCKACCUUUAMAAUUUUUCGUGAUCURASUUCAGACCGGAUUGUUCAACCAUUAAAAGUUCU
rnacentral:rRNA from 1 species